UUUUGCUUGCUUUCAUUCUUUCGAGUACAUUGUCUAAAUUUAAAGUAAAUACCACCACAGAAAGGAUACUUAAAAUGGAUAUCCCUAUCAAGAUGUAAUACCAAAGAGGCCAACCCUGCUGGACAUCAUCAAGUUGCAUACGACACUCAAUUGACAAGGGUUCUGUUCCUAUGUCGUCUGUCUCCAUGGACUGAGAAGACUGGAAAUCAGCCGAUUCAGAAUGGGACAACUCGUUAAGCAUCAGAUUCAUCGUAACUGCUUGACGAAUCAUCUGGUGGAACUACGAAGUUCGCCCUUCUCUUUGGGUAACCUUGGGGAGCUUUUCGCUCUGGCCAUUCUUCUAUGUUGGCAUGCCUUAUCUGAUCGGCAUGGACCUGGAAGACACGAUUAUCAA